rnacentral:rRNA from 1 species
AGGGUUUGAUCAUGGCUCAGGAUGGACGCUAGCGGCAGGCUUAACACAUGCAAGUCGAGGGGUAACAGAAAAAAGCUUGCUUUUUUGCUGACGACCGGCGCACGGGUGCGUAACGCGUAUGCAAUCUACCUUUUGCUAAGGGAUAGCCCAGAGAAAUUUGGAUUAAUACCUUAUAGUAUGGUGACUUGGCAUCAAGAUAUCAUUAAAGGUUACGGCAAAAGAUGAGCAUGCGUUCUAUUAGCUAGUUGGUGUGGUAACGGCAUACCAAGGCAACGAUAGAUAGGGGUCCUGAGAGGGAGAUCCCCCACACUGGUACUGAGACACGGACCAGACUCCUACGGGAGGCAGCAGUGAGGAAUAUUGGACAAUGGAGGCAACUCUGAUCCAGCCAUGCCGCGUGCAGGAAGACUGCCCUAUGGGUUGUAAACUGCUUUUAUACAGGAAGAAACACCUCUACGUGUAGAGAUUUGACGGUACUGUAAGAAUAAGGAUCGGCUAACUCCGUGCCAGCCGCCGCGGUAAUAC